UCCAAGUGCUUGCUCUUAGGAGUAAGCUGUUUUCCUGUUUAAAUCGCAGGAAGAGGAAGGGCUGGGUAAGACGGGUGCCAGCCGCCGCGGUAAUACCUGCAGCUCAAGUGGUGACCGCUAUUAUUGGGCCUAAAACGUCCGUAGCCGGCUGAGUAAAUGCCUGGGUAAAUCGUGUCGCUCAACGAUACGAAUUCCGGGUAGACUGCUUAGCUUGAGACUGGGAGAAGCUAGAGGUACUCCUGGGGUAGAGGUGAAAUUCUGUAAUCCUGGGGGGACCACCAGUGGCGAAAGCGUCUAGCUAGAACGGGUCUGACGGUGAGGGACGAAACCCUGGGGCGCGAACCGGAUUAGAUACCCGGGUAGUCCAGGGCGCAAACGCUGCUUGCUUGAUGUUAGCUGGGCUCCGAGCUCGGCUAGUGUCGGAGAGAAGUUGUUAAGCAAGCUGCCUGGGAAGUACGAUCGCAAGAUUGAAACUUAAAGGAAUUGGCGGGGGAGCACAGCAACGGGAGGAGCGUGCGGUUUAAUUGGAUUCAACGCCGGAAAACUCACCGGAGGCGACGGUUACAUGAAGGCCAGGCUGAUGACCUUGCCUGAUUUUCCGAGAGGUGGUGCAUGGCCGCCGUCAGUUCGUACCGUAAGGCGUUCUGUUAAGUCAGAUAACGAACGAGACCCUCAUCCUUAAUUGCUACUGAUAACUCUGGUUGUCAGGCACAUUAAGGAGACCGCUGACGAUAAGUCAGAGGAAGGCGAGGGCAACGGUAGGUCAGUAUGCCCUGAAUCCUCCGGGCUACACGCGCGCUACAAAGGCCAGGACAAUGGGUUUCGACACCGAAAGGUGAAGGUAAUCCCGAAACCUGGUCAUAGUUCGGAUUGAGGGCUGAAACUCGCCCUCAUGAAGCUGGAUUCCGUAAUAAUCGCGGAUCAACAUCCCG
rnacentral:rRNA from 1 species